rnacentral:rRNA from 1 species
CCUACGGGAGGCAGCAGUGAGGAAUAUUGGUCAAUGGACGAGAGUCUGAACCAGCCAAGUAGCGUGAAGGAUGACUGCCCUAUGGAUGGUAAACUUCUUUUAUAAGGGAAUAAAACGAGGCACGUGUGCCUUUUUGCAUGUACUUUAUGAAUAAGGAUCGGCUAACUCCGUGCCAGCAGCCGCGGUAAUACGGAGGAUCCGAGCGUUAUCCGGCUUUAUUGGGUUUAAAGGGAGCGUAGAUGGGUUGUUAAGUCAGUUGUGAAAGUUUGCGGCUCAACCGUAAAAUUGCAAUUGAUACUGGCAGUCUUGAGUACAGUGGAGGUAGGCGGAAUGCGUGGUGUAGCGGUGAAAUGCUUAGAUAUCACGAAGAACCCCGAUUGCGAAGGCAGCUUACUAACCUGUGACUGACAUUGAUGCUCGAAAGUGUGGGUAUCAAACAGGAUUAGAUACCCCAGUAGUC